rnacentral:rRNA from 1 species
AACGAACGCUGGCGGCAUGCCUAACACAUGCAAGUCGAAAGAAGGCUUCGGCCUUAGUGGCGCACGGGUGCGUAACGCGUGGGAAUCUGCCCUUUGCUUCGGAAUAACACAGAGAAAUUUGUGCUAAUACCGGAUAAUGUCGCAAGACCAAAGAUUUAUCGGCAAAGGAUGAGCCCGCGUAAGAUUAGGUAGUUGGUGGGGUAAUGGCCUACCAAGCCGACGAUCUUUAGCUGGUCUGAGAGGUUGAUCAGCCACACUGGGACUGAGCCACGGCCCAGACUCCUACGGGAGGCAGCAGUGGGGAAUAUUGGACAAUGGGCGAAAGCCUGAUCCAGCAAUGCCGCGUGAGUGAUGAAGGCCUUAGGGUUGUAAAGCUCUUUUACCAGGGAUGAUAAUGACAGUACCUGGAGAAUAAGCUCCGGCUAACUCCGUGCCAGCCGCCGCAGUAA